GACACGCAGGUACCCAGACUUCUCUUCCUCUGACUCGUGUUUCUAAUGCGUUGUGAUUCCACACGAGUGCGACUCUUAAAAACUACUCACACAGUUUUUGUGGAAUAUUUAACGUGUUUUAUGUCUGUCAAAAGCGCCGAAGUGUACAUUUCCAAAGUGCUGGUGAACCCGGUGGGAGUGAAUCCCUGUCAGUGGUUUGGGUUGGCGGUUGCCGCGACGACUCUCAAGAGUAUCUGUAUUGAUUGGAGGGAGCGCUACACUGAACUACAAACAAAGGCUUCACAAGAAUCCAGUUGUUGAGCGUGGCAGACAUGAAGGAACAUAAGACACCUUUGUGAUAAUGACGAUAGAGUCGAUCUGUUAAUACAUUAAUAGGUAUGCGUGCACACACACACACACACACACACACACACACACUCUAGUCUGUCUGCAAGUGUAAUGAUUAGUCAUUAUCUAUCUGCACGCUGAAGGACCCCAUGCAGUUUUAGUAAAUCACACUUUUUCAAAAAAACGUCAUUGACACUUACAGACAAGCAGUUAUUACAAUUAGUUUUGUCGCGCGUCAACCUCACAUUUACACACAUGAUUUAGGCGGAUAAAUAAACGUAAAGCCUGUAUAAAAACGUCAUCUGCACAGCUCACAAGGUGAGCGAAUCAGGUGUGUGAGGGAACGUCUCGAUGGUCUAAAGGUGGUCUUUGCAGGUAUUGAUUUGUGUCGUUCUCACUGACUCAAACUCAAACUGCGUCAAGGCUCCGGAGUCUGAAUAAACUGAGGAAACUGACUAUAAUAAAAAUGCUUCCCCGCUGUCAGCAUUUAUCAAAAAGCAUGGCGUCUGAAUAGGGCUGUAAUGUGGGUCCUUUUCUCAGGUGUGGCGUGGUACAACAGUAUUCACACAAAUAUAAAUGACGUGUAGAUUUACGGUGAAUAAGGAAGAUAUCCAUCAUAGAUUGGUAUUAAAAAGAGAUUAUGAGGACGGAAAACAAGAUACAUCGUAGAAUGUAUAACACCUACUGUGGAUCUUGAAAUAUCUGUUCCUGCAAACGUGAGUCAAAGCGCAUCCCGCUGAUACAAUGGUCAUACGCCAAAGAAAAAAAAACAUUAUUUGUAUUUCAUGCCUUUUGCAACCAAUCCGUUUAUACACAAGCCAUUCAUACAGUUUCCCUGGUAACCUUGACGUUUUUUACCACCUGCAACAGUCAUUACCGUGCAAUCGUUAACAUGAAGUGAGGUCCACUUGUAGUUGUGCACAAAGCGAACCGCAGUGGAAUAGCGCACAACCGCGGUUCUUUAUCAUGCCAGCAAAGGUACAAAGUAUUCAUAUUUUGUAGAUGUAGAACUCGUCAUUGUCUCGACAAAUAAAACCUGUUUUGAACUCUGCCCCGGCUCAGGUGAUGUGGGCGAUUUAUUGUAGCUUAGCAUGUAGCUUAGCGCGGGAGAGGAUGGAGACGAAUCAACACCCUCCGAUGAGCGAGUGAGAUGGACUGUGGUCCAGGGUUCUAACGUGCACACCGGUAGUGCAGCCGUGCAUGCAGUCACACAGUAGAAGUGACA
ensembl:lncRNA